rnacentral:rRNA from 1 species
UACGAAGGGGGCUAGCGUUGCUCGGAAUCACUGGGCGUAAAGGGUGCGUAGGCGGGUCUUUAAGUCAGGGGUGAAAUCCUGGAGCUCAACUCCAGAACUGCCUUUGAUACUGAGGAUCUUGAGUUCGGGAGAGGUGAGUGGAACUGCGAGUGUAGAGGUGAAAUUCGUAGAUAUUCGCAAGAACACCAGUGGCGAAGGCGGCUCACUGGCCCGGUACUGACGCUGAGGUGCGAAGGCGUGGGGAGCAAACAGG